rnacentral:rRNA from 1 species
CACAAGCGGUGGAUGAUGUGGAUUAAUUCGACGCAACGCGAAGACCUUACCUAGGAUUUGACAUCCUCUGACGACGUUAGAGAUAACGUUUCCCUUCGGGGCAGAGAGACAGGUGGUGCGAUGGGUUGUCGUCAGCUCGUGUCGUGAGAUGUUGGGUUAAGUCCCGCAACGAGCGCAACCCCUAUUGCCAGUUACCAUCAUUAAGUUGGGGACUCUGGCGAGACUGCCGUGGAUAACACGGAGGAAGGUGGGACGACGUCAAAUCAUCAUGCCCCUUAUGUCCUGGGCUACACACGUACUACAAUGGCAACAACAAAGAGCAGCAAGUCCGCGAGGCCAAGCGAAUCUCAAAAUGUUGUCCCAGUUCGGAUUGCAGGCUGAAACUCGCCUGCAUGAAGUCGGAAUUGCUAGUAAUGGCAGGUCAGCAUACUGCCGUGAAUACGUUCCCGGGCCUU